UACGGAGGGUGCAAACGUUGCUCGGAAUUAUUGGGCGUAAAGCGCACGUAGGUGGCUCGUUAAGUCGGAUGUGAAAGCCCUCGGCUCAACUGAGGAAGUGCAUUCGAAACUGGCGAGCUUGAGUACUGAAGAGGGUCGCGGAAUUCCCGGUGUAGAGGUGAAAUUCGUAGAUAUCGGGAGGAACACCGGUGGCGAAGGCGGCGAUCUGGGUCGAUACUGACGCUGAGGUGCGAAAGCGUGGGGAGCAAACAGG
rnacentral:rRNA from 1 species